ACUGACUAAUCAAAAAACACCUUUAUUGGACUGAUUCUUAUUGGAUUUGAUCAGAGCUUUCAUGUGUUUAUCAAAAAGGCAGAUUUAUUACUGCAGCUUUUGC